rnacentral:lncRNA from 1 species
GGAUCGAGGCCAUCAAGCUACAGAUGGUCUUACAAAUGGAACCCCAAAUGAGCUCAACUAACAACUUCUACUAAGGACCCCUGGGCCAACCCACUGGCCCUUUGACUGGCCUAAAGAGUUCCCCUCUGAAGGACACUACAAUUGCAGGGACCCUUCUUUGCCCCUAUCCAGCAGGAAGUAGCUAGAGCGGUCAUUGUCCAAUUCCCAACUGCAGUUGGGGUGUCCUGUUUAGAGGGGGGAUUGAGAGGUGAAGCCAGCUGGACUUCCUGGGUCGAGUGGGGACUUGGAGAACAUUUCUGUCUAGCUAAAGGAUUGUAAAUGCACCAAUGAGCACUCUGUAAAAAUGCACCAAUCAGCGCUCUGUGUCUAGCUGAAAGAUUGUAAAUGCACCAAUCAGCACUCUGUAAAAACAUACCAAUCAGCGCUCUGUGUCUAGCUAAAGGAUUGUAAACGCACUGAUCAGCACUCUGUAAAAUGGACCAAUCAGCGUUCUGUAAAAUGGACCAAUCAGCAGGACAUGGGUGGGGCCAAACAAGGGAAUAAAAGCUGGUCACCCCAGCCAGCAGUGGCAAGCCACUCGGGUCCCCUUCCACACUGUGGAAGCUUUGUUCUUUUGCUCUUCACAAUAAAUCUUGCUGUUGCUCACUUUUUGGGUCUGCACUACCUUUAUGAGCUGUAACACUCACCACAAGGGUCUGCAGCUUCAUUCCUUGAAGUCAGUGAGUCCACAAAUCCACCAGGAUGAACAAACAACUCCGGAUGCACCACCUUUAAGAGCUGUAACACUCACUGCGAAAGUCUGCGGCUUCACUCCUGAAGUCAGCGAGACCAUGAUCCCACUGGAAGGAAGAAACUCCAGGCACAUCUGAACAUCUGAAGGAACAAACUCCAGACACACCAUCUUUAAGAGCUGUAACACUCACCACGAAGGUCUGCAGCUUCAUUCUUGAAGUCAGCGACAUAAGAACCCACUGGAAGGAAUAAAUUCCGGACACAUCAGCACUAUUCAGAGAGGUCCAUGGCAGCUGACCUCAGGCUGGUGUCCAUUGGAGUGGACCUGAUGACUGUGUUCCUGGACCAUAUGUCCACAGGGGCUGGACUGAAGCCCAGUUCCAAGGAUGUUGACCUGGCACUGAGGGGGCCUACAGGAGAGGCCAGUACUCUUCUCUAUUGAAGCUGCAUGUACACUUGGCCCAGGACUCAGACCCAAAGGGAGGAGAUCUCAUGGGAGCUGGAGGAACUGUGGGUCCUGGCACUGCCGCAUGCCAGUAAGACUAGAGAGGCUCUCCUUCUGGCUUUGAAGAGGUAAGCUGUCAUAUGUGAGGGAGCAUGUGACAAGGAACCAUGCAGAUCUCCACAAAGCUGAGAGAAGCCUCUGGUUGACAGCCAGCAAGGAAGAGGAGAUCUCAGUCCUGCAACUACAUAGAACCAAAUUCUGUCAACGCCGACUUGACCUUGAGCUCCAGAAAGGAAUGCUGUAUGGAUGACAUCUAACUGGUUUGGCUCAGGGUCUCAUUGCAGCUUUGUGAGAACUUCAGCAAAACCAGUUAGGUUGUACCCAGAAUCCUUACCCAUAGAAACAAAGAUAAUAAAGGUAUGCUGUUUUAAGCUUCUAAGCUUGUGGUAAACUGGUUUGCAGCAAUAGAGAACUAAUACAUCAGGGGGCAAAUCCAGAAAAUACAUUAUGAACAAGACAUAAAUGGAAAAUAAGAACAAAAUUUUAUAGAUACUACAGAUAGGGACUUUAGACAGUUAUUAAGUUGAAAAACAAAUUUAAUUCUGAGAUUCCUCGUGGCCAAAAUCAAAGGAAAAAGAUAAACUUUCAUUAUUAUUUUUGCACCUAUGUUUGUGUGUAGCACAUGAUUCCUGCUUGCAGGCUUAAAAGACACAAACAGCGUAAUGUUAAAUAUCAAUCUUGGGGUAGUAGUGUCAGAAAGGUACAGCUGAUAUGCAGGGCUUAGGGCUUAGAGGGGAGUAAGAUAGCAGGACAAAAGGAUAAUUCUGUUGCUGCUGCAUUAGAAAGUCAGAUAGGAUUAUUUAAAAUGUUGUGGUAUUCAAUCUACCAAAACUGUGGUAGAUUUCUCCAAGGAAGCAACUCCCCAGUGGAAAUUUAUCUCACAUCUUCUAUGCAGAGCUGAGUGAGGGAAGGGACCAGUUUUAGUACCUCUUAUCUCUGCUACCAACCUUGUCAUUCAUCAGGCCCAACGAAUAAGAAUUCACUGAUAGAUUUUAAACUGGGCAUUGACCUGACAGAGAAUCAAUUUGGGCAGGAGGGCGAAGUGGGCUAGAGAAGGCAGGUAGAAGAAUCACUCAGUAAACUCAGUUUGAGAUGGUGGCAUUCUGGACUAGCAUAGUAGCAAUGGGGAUAGAAGUGGGGCUUUGAAGAGAAAUGUUUAGAGUUGUCUGAUUAGUGGAAACACUGAAUGGGGGUUUUCAGAGCUGUAGAGGGACAAUUAUAAGAGAAGAAUGUCAUAAAAACCAAGGAGGAAAUAGUUUCAGAAGAGAGUCAUUAACUACAUCAAAUGCUGCAAGGAAGUAAGUUCCUAUGACAAUUGGUAAAUUUCCAUUGCAUGUGUCAGUUCAAGGGUGAUUUGAGACCUCUAGUGGUAC